GAAAAAAACUCUAGAUUAAAAUUCAACUUGGGCAUAGUUCAGGCACAAAUUCAAGUGGGGAGAUAAUGCUCCAACAGUCACUGGGCUCUAGUUUUUGUCAGCUGAGUGACAUCUUCAGUGCCUUUUCAGUGUGUCAUUGUGUCUAAUGGCUCAUGUCUACAGUGGAUUAUGCAGCUGAAUGGAGGAAUGCCAAACAGCUACCGGUGUAGUUAGCUGCACCAAAUGGUCCGUGGCUGCACCAAGAUGAAUCCACAGUAUUCAGCUGUUGUACAUGCAUGUAUAAUGAGCGCUGCGGGAAACACUACAGGCAAGGCUCGCUGUGGAUUUCUGAGAAUUCUGAGGGAAAUGUUGUCCGGUGUUUGACAUCUGAAGGGCUGGAUAUUCCUCAUAUAGCACACAUGUACCAGUAUGAUAUCACUUGACUUUAUAAUCGAAAGAUGCCAACUUGUCAGAGUAUAUAGUGCACACCUUGGCCAAAGUACAUGAAAUGCAGAUGUUGGAAAAUGACCUGCACAGUUGUCAUGAAAGAAAUUGAUAUACUUGUGAUGUGAAAUGUACAUGGGGUAAACUUUUCCCCAUUCUUUCCUCUAAGUUACAUGUCCCUGCAUCCUAAAUUUAAAAUAAAUAAAUUUACAACAUCAUAUAUUGGCUGCCAUCACCGAGGCUCUGCAAUAGCCUACAUGUACAUGUACAUACAAGUACUGCAGCUAAAUCAGUGGGAUUGCAACUUACAAGCAUUGAUAAAAACUCAACUCCUACGACGGGUGAAGCAUUGCUGAAAUUCUCCGACCUUUGAGCUUGUUUGAAAAGUGAGCAAUUGUGUGCUGCUGCCCAACAAAGACUUUUGUUGUUGUUUGAUGAGUUUAGUUCAAUCAUCGCACUUGAACAAGCGUGAAUACAAAGACCCAAUGCACGGGUUCCAAUGUACACACAAAAGACGCAGUGAUCAAUACCACUUUAUUGUGAACCACAGAAAUGACCUACUUUAAUACACGCUAUGUACAUGUCCAGUAUUUUGGGAAUGGCUUUUAGAAAUUGAUGCACUGACCAAAUUGAAAGUUGGACUGCAAAGACAGAGCACUGGGGUAUAAAGCCAUAAUCCCCUCAAAUCCUGGCAAAUCUGCCACGGGGUUUAGAAGAUUGUGUACGAAGAAAGUGAUAAGAGGUCAGCCACUGUGUGCGUACUGUACAUACAUGGGGCUUGAGUUCUACCAAAACUGUGUCACUUUGUUUCUACCAGGAAAAUAUUAGGAAAGUUUGGAUAAAUUGUCUCUCUUCCGAUGUGAAAUGCAGCUGUUACUACCUGCAGGUAGUAUGGAAAUAUUUUACUCACAUAACCUUUGAAACGCUUGCAACAAAAGCACAAAUACAUGUAUAAAGAGUCAAUAUUUCCAAACAAUUGUAAUUGACUGCGUUCACACAUUGGACAUCGAGGUACUCAAGUGAAACCAAGGUCAACUGCUUUAUUUUGGGGAAACCUAUGAAUCAAAAUGAAAGCAAUGAAAGAAUUUUAAGUAAAUUUCAUUUACAAUAAUGACUCAUUACAAAUGUGUGGUUCCUUAUAUCUAAACAUUUUUAGCAACACUGAAAAACUGAAAGCGAAGCAUGGAACUGACCUAGUCUGGUACUAAUCUCUUUGACAGAUUACACUGAAUACAAUAAAUUCAGGAACAUGAUCCAGAAUGACAUCCCUGUGAAUAAGUCCUAUUAAUCUGUGAUCUGAAGAGAUAUAAUCUGCAAUCCACAUUUGCUUACUGAUUUAAACAAUCAAGAACACUGUAUUUUGUUUCC